GGGGACGUUACGGAUUCGACAAGCACAGUUCGAGCUUGAAUUGCGUUUCGUAGGUUACGUCUACGUUAAAACGUUACAGUUAAAUAUAACUGCUAAAAACGAAAACAACUCUUACGCUUUAGCUGCCUAAAAACAGUUAGCGUAGAUCCUCUCGGCAUCGCCCAUGUGCUCGAGUAAGGGUCUCAAAUUUAGUGGGAUACGUUAAACUUUUCCGUCUGUAAAGUUUAAAAGAGAUCAUCAGACUAGCAAUACAGAAUGCCUGUCACUCGGCAAGCUGUAAAGCGAAACCUCAAAUGAGUUGACUAUGAACGUAGAUUUUUAAGUGUCGAUGUGUUUGGACGCGGGUUCGACUCCCGCCGUCUCCACCA
rnacentral:tmRNA from 1 species